rnacentral:rRNA from 1 species
GACGAACGCUGGCGGCGUGCCUAAUACAUGCAAGUAGAACGCAGUUGCGAACGGGUGAGUAACGCGUAUGUAACUCCCUAAUCGCGGGGGAUAAAUUUUGGAAACCAUAGGUAAUACCGCUUACAAUGAGAUGGACCUGCGUUGUAUUAGCUAGUUGGUGAGGUAAAGGCUCACCAAGGCGACGAUACAUAGCUGACCUGAGAGGGUGAUCGGCCACACUGGAACUGAGACACGGCCCAGACUCCUACGGGAGGCAGCAGUGGGGAAUAUUGGACAAUGGGCGAAAGCCUGAUACAGCCAGGCCGCGUGUGUGAAGAAGGUCUUCGGUUUGUAAAGCACUGUAAGUUGGGAGGCGUUACCUACAGAAUAAGCACCGGCUAACUUCGUGCCAGCAGCCGCGGUCAUAC